rnacentral:misc_RNA from 1 species
AAAAGCUGCAUUCGCUGAACCUACCAGUGCAAUUCAAAAAGUUGAGGUAGAAAAGGUGAAGCAAGAUGAUGCACUAUCUGACAUGAGCGAUAUCUUGGUAGAGCUGAAGGAAAUGGCUGUUGACAUGGGUUGUGAAAUUGACAGGCAGAAUAAUGCUUUGGAUCGAGCUUCUGUUGAUGUCGAGGUGCUUGGUGACCGAGUUAAAGAUGCCAACCGUCGUGGUCAUCGCUUGCUUGGAAGAUAGAGUUCAAUGUUU